UCCAGCACGCUGAGGCCUACGAAGCUGGACUCCUCCAGUCUGGACAGGUGGUUGGAGGAGAGGUUGCUGCAGGACAGAAGACAACAACAAAAACAUGAGAACAGUAAAGAAUUGAGGACUUCCAUGUUGCUGAGGCCCCAGAAGGCUCCGUCCAUCAGGCGGCUCAGGCCGUUUCUCUGCAUCUUCAGGGAGCGGAGGGCGUGCAGGCCGUGGAAGGUCAGACCCUCCACCCGGCGGACCCGGUUCCUACUCAGCUCCCUGAAACACAAACACACACAGAUCAGUUAUCGUGCUGGAGGUUGGGCAGCUGGAAGAUCUUAGCCGGGAUGGUGGAGAGACGGUUGCGGUUGAGCCGAAGAACCUGCAGACUGCUGGACAGAGCACAUAUUUCCAUAGAAACGAGGGGGUUCUCCCGUCUGGAAAGAAGUGCAACACCUUUUGGAAAUCUUCUCUAUUCAAACAUACAGAAGGGGAAGAUUCACAAGUCAACACAGAGAUCCGAGAUAGAUGGCAGCCCGGAGAGUUUUGGAGAGAGACUGCGCUGGAAUAAACCCUGCCAGCAUGUGUUUCUGAGAUUUAAAAGGUGUUAUUGAGAACAUUUAAUGUAGAGAACCUUUAUAAAAAGGUGCUGAAUAAAGUAUGGCUUUUCCAGAAAAAAAUAUUAUGACUGUGAA